UAGUCCACGCCGUAAACGAUGAUUACUCGGUGCUAGCAAUAUACAGUUAGUGCCUAAGCGAAAGUGAUAAGUAAUCCACCUGGGGAGUACGGUCGCAAGAUUGAAACUCAAAGGAAUUGACGGGGGCCCGCACAAGCGGUGGAGCAUGUGGUUUAAUUCGAUGAUACGCGAGGAACCUUACCUGGGCUUAAAUGUAGAUUGACAGACUGGGAAACUAGUUUUUCUUCGGACAAUUUACAAGGUGCUGCAUGGUUGUCGUCAGCUCGUGCUGUGAGGUGUCGGGUUAAGUCCCAUAACGAGCGCAACCCCUAUCCCUUAGUUGCCAGCGAGUAAUGUCGGGGACUCUAAGGAAACUGCCCGCGUAAGCGGUGAGGAAGGUGGGGAUGACGUCAAAUCAUCACGGCCCUUACGUCCAAGGCUACACACGUGCUACAAUGGCAAAUCAAAGGGCAGCUACCCCGCAGGGGAUGCUAAUCUCUAAAGUUUGUCUCAGUUCGGAUCGAAGUCUGCAACUCGACUUCGU
rnacentral:rRNA from 1 species